UUAUUUACAAUAUACAUUAUGCAUUAGUAUAUGUGGUGUAUAUAAAUACAUAAACAUAUUCUGUUAAUUAAGUUUUGAAGAGUUUAAUUUAAUUUGGUUUUUACACAGUUAAUUUAUUUUCUUUAUUUUUUUCUUUAUUAACAACUAUUACAUGCAAAUUCUUGAACCGUGAGUGUGUAAUAAAAGUUUGACCAUAUAGCAGUGUGACAAUGAACGUUCUUGGCCCUAGAACAGCAACAUCAGUCAAUCGUGUACCUGAUAUGGGACAACCAACCAAGCCGCUGACCAACAGCCCACCAGUAACAAAAUCUAUGUUUCAUCAUGUAAAAAUAGAACAUUUGGUAGCUGGCUUUUCAGGCGGCGUUGCGUCUACUCUCAUACUUCAUCCUCUAGAUUUAUUGAAAAUUCGAUUUGCUGUUAAUGAUGGAAGAAAUACAAUACCAAGUUAUGCUGGAUUGGGAAAUGCUGUCACUACAAUAUUUAGACAAGAAGGAAUAAAAGGACUUUAUAAAGGAGUUACUCCAAAUGUUUGGGGAUCAGGAAGUGCAUGGGGCUUUUAUUUCCUAUUUUAUAAUUCAAUUAAAGCUUGGAUUCAAGGUGACAAUACUAAAAAGCCUUUGGGUCCAGCAUUACAUAUGACUGCAGCAGCAGAAGCAGGCAUACUCACCUUAAUGAUAACCAAUCCAGUAUGGGUUGUCAAGACUCGUUUGUGUUUGCAGUUUGAUAAGCCCAAUGACGCGAGCAAGUCAUACAGUGGCAUGUGGGAUGCAUUUCGCAAGAUCUAUGGUGCUGAGGGUGUACGAGGCUUGUACAAGGGCUUUGUUCCUGGCAUGUUUGGUGUAUCUCACGGUGCCCUGCAGUUCAUGACUUACGAGGAGAUGAAAACUUUUUAUAAUGAAUACAGAAGAUUACCAAUUGAUGCUAAAUUGGAAACAUCUGAAUACAUUGUAUUUGCAGCGUUUUCAAAAUUAAUAGCAGCUGGUUUGACAUAUCCAUAUCAAGUAAUUCGUGCGAGACUGCAAGAUCAACAUCGUGAAUACCGGGGAACUUGGCAUUGUAUAACCCAAACAUGGAGGUACGAAGGUGCUGGUGGAUUCUAUAAGGGAUUAUCGCCAUAUUUAUUACACGUGCUUCCAAAUAUUUGUCUUGUGUUGUUGAUAUAUGAGAAAUUUACAAACACUUAAGAUUCUGUUACACCAAUAUGAGUUUAAACAUAACAAAACCUAUCAGUCCUGUGUAUGAAAGUGCCAAAGGAUUUUAUAAAGGAAUUGGGCCCAAUCUAUUGAGAGUUGUACCGGCAACCAUCAUCACAUUUGUAGUUCAUG
rnacentral:misc_RNA from 1 species